AUGACCGGAGGGGAUUCCAUGGAUGCAAUCAGCCUGGAUGACUGGGAGCUCCUGCCUGACCUCGGGAGCUCCUUCUUCCUGGAGGAGUGCGCUGCUGGUGGUGGUGGUAAGGAUCAGGAUCAGCUCUUGUUUGGGUCCGGUUUGGUCGUGAUCGACAUGGGCCACUUCACCCUCCACCCUGCAUCUCACCCCUCUACCUAUGAUUGCAUCCUAGAUGAAGAAGAUGCCAUGGGACCAUCAGCGCAAGCUGCCUCUGCACGGCAGCAGCAUGAUGUCGAGUUCGAGGACAUCGGCGUCGUGCAGGCCGAGCCGAGGCAAGGGGAGCUCGCGAUGAUGGUGACCGAGGUGAUGGUCUCCGGUGCAGAAGAGGAGGAAGAGAUGGUGAACUCCCCUGUUGCCGAAGAGGAAGCUGGUGAGGAGGACGAGGUGAUGGUGGAAGCAGCACCUGAUCAUCUACCCCAUGAGGUGGAAGAAGGUGCGGAGAGAGACAGGGCAGGGAUGGACGCUGCUGGCUUCAGCGUCGGGAAACUGAGGGUGAACGGCGUCGGGGCGCUCUGCUCCUUCGGGGUCGCCGCUGCCACCUUCUGCAUCCUGGUGCUUGGCGGCAGGCCGCAGCAGCAGAGGAAGGUGCAGGACCACAAGUCCCAGUUCCAGGUGUUCGCCGAUGAUGAGAGGAUCCAUCGUGCCGUGGAGCAGGCGUCCAGGCUGAACCAGGCCGUGUCGUCGGUCAUGGGGGGCGCGUCCACCAGGGGGGCGACGGUGUCGUUCGGCGGCCACUACACCGGGUUUUGA
rnacentral:rRNA from 1 species